AGAGAGGAUCAGGCGAUCGCCGGCGACCGGACUCCGCGAGGAGGUCGGCCGCGGGAGGAAAGUCCGAGCUUCACAGGGCAAGGUGCUGGCUAACGGCCAGUCGAGGUGACUCGCAGGACAGUGCCACAGAAAACAAACCGCCUCGUCGCGAGACGAGGUAAGGGUGAAACGGUGCGGUAAGAGCGCACCGCUCGUCGGGUGACCGACGGGGCACGGCAAACCCCACCCGAAGCAAGACCAGACAGGGGUCGUGCGGCCCGCACGAUGACCCCGGGUUGGUCGCUCGAGCCCACCGGCAACGGGGGGCCUAGAAGAAUGAUCGCCGCCGGCGCGAGCCGGAACAGAACUCGGCUUACGAGCCUCUCUGGCG
rnacentral:RNase_P_RNA from 1 species